GAAAUGCGAUAAGUAGUGUGAAUUGCAGAAUUCAGUGAAUCAUCGAAUCUUUGAACGCACAUUGCGCCCCUCGGUAUUCCGUGGGGCAUGCCUGUUCGAGCGUCAUCUACACCCUCAAGCUCUGCUUGGUGUUGGGCGUCUGUCCCGCCUCCUUCGCGCGCGGACUCGCCCCAAAUCCAUUGGCGGCGGCCCUUGCCUCCCUCUCGCGCAGCACAUUGCGCUUCUCGAGGCGCGGCGGAUCGCGUCCAGCAAGCAACCGUCACACCGUCUUUGACCUCGGAUCAGGUAGGGAUACCCGCUGAACUUAAGC
rnacentral:misc_RNA from 1 species